GAGGAAUUUGCUCAAGGCAGACAUUUCUUGACUUCAAGUUUGUUACUUUGCUUCAAAACAUAAAUAAGAGUGGGGGUGGGGGUAUGGUGCCCUUUCUUUGCUUGCUAGUUUAUAUAUUUUAUUUGAAUAUGUUGACAUUAUACAAGAUUUUUUACCGCUGAAAAGUCUACCAUCAUGACGCAAUUGCUUGGUGGCCCCAUUUCUAACGAAACCACAAGCAGACUACGCAGAGAAAUAGAGUUGAGUCAUAGAAUACUCCCACAAUCACUGCUCUUUACCCUCAGAAAAAAUCAAUCAUCUUAAAAUAUGAAGAGUGGAUCACGAGUGAACGUGCAUGUACCCCAAGAGCACCCGAUAAUCUCUGGAACUACAUCAAUUUUCUAGCCAUACGUACCCCAAUCACACACCAUAAAAACAAGGAACCGGAAACCAUGUUCCCAUACCUGUCACAGGUGACACUCUUCACUCCCAAUUGCCAAAUGAUAUACAAAGCACAUUCCAGUAUCCAAAUACUAGGUCAGAGAUAUUCCAAUAUAUGAGGAGGUAGAGGCUUGAAAAUAUAAAAUCUUUCACAGAUAUUUGGACAGAUCUUUUUGAUUCUCCAGAUCCCAAAUAACCACUCUCCCAUCCAAUCCUGAAGUGCUGAAGCGCAGUGUCCUAGAACUGCCCUCCUCCCGAAGAGGCACGAUACAACUGUAGUUAGAAGAAACCAAGUGUUAUGCAAUAAUCUCCAUAAAAUCUAAAAGUGGUUAAAAGAGAUCACUGCCAACUAAAUCACACUCCCUUUGGGCUAAGAUCCCCUUAUGUUUGUGCAAACAUGAUACAACAUGUUUAUACAAUCUCAAUUCUCAACCCUUCAAUUUAAAAUGAAAGGUAAAUAUUUCAUAAUUCGUAUAUAACCAGCUACAAUCUAAAAAUUAAAAUUUAAUUUUUAAUAAAAUUUCAACCAUUUAGUUUGAAUUUAAGGAAUAAGAUUAGACAAACAUGAGGAUCCAAAUCCCAUUAGUUUCCUCCAUACAGCAUACAAACAUGCAUAUGGGGGCAGAGCAAUCAGCAAGUGAAUUUAGGUUCGGGCUAAUGGAACUGAAAAUUUUUAGGUGACCAACAAAAAUUUCUCCCUGCUCCAAGCAUAAUUUUUCUGCCCCCUCACACAUUGGAGGGACCAUUGAUGUCAGAGGACAGAACUUUAAGCCCAAAGUAGAAAUAACUUCUCAGCAAACCUAUUAAAAUAACAAAUAAUAGGGAAAAGAAAAAACAACAGAGCAGUUAAAAGUGACAAAAGUACUUUAUGCAGUUCUCAUGAAUGCCUCCACAUGAUCAACGCUCAUACCAGUCUUUGAUUGGCCAUAAAAUUUUCCAAACGCCUCCGAGAACUGUGAACCAUACUUUGAAACUGAAAAUGACGAUUUCCUUUCACCAAGGAACCUGACAAAGCUCCUAAAAAAAUAAGGAAAAAACAAAAAUAUCACUUCACUAGUCUCCCUAUAUCUCACUCAAAAACACAAGCCAUCUUAUGCAUAGUCACUAGAGACAUUGUAGAAGUUCUCCCUUGUCAAAAUCCCUAGAUUUAUGGAUAUGGGAGAGCUACUCAAGCUGGCAAAUAAUCAUCAACUUGAUAACCCCUCAAUGUCUACCAAAACCAAUGUUCUCCCCCAUCAAAUACACAACAGAACUAUAUGAAAACUGUUCUUUACAAGAAAGCAUCAAUCGUCCUACAUCAACCCUAUGUGAAAUAGAAUGCAAAUCUGCAAUCAGUGAAAUAAUGUAACUUUCAAAAGGAGGACAAAUUACCAAUUAAUUAGCUACGCAUACACAUGACUCUAAAACAUUACUUUGAUAUAUCUACAUAAACAACCCAGUUAACGCCAAAAGUUUGCCACUUGAGGCUGGCAAGCAAGUCUAACGUGCAGAAAAAUAAAAAUAAAAGGAUACAAAUCCAAGUCCAACCUCAAGUAACCUCCCUCCCCCAACCUCAAGUGCUUACAAAAUCAAUAGUUCUUCUGUAAGUUUUACAUACCAUAUUCCUCUUUCAUCAGCUCCAAAAACCAUUGGGUUGCAAUCAAAUCCCACACCUAUGACCAUUUUCUCAGAAACAAAGAAGACCCACAUCACGGAGAGGUAAAUCACAAAAUGCAACAUUUUGGGCCAGUGGAGAAGGACCAACAUCAUCAACAAAGUAAAUCAUAGAAUUAUGACCUACAAAAUAGUGCAAAUGGCAGAUAUACAAGGUGAGCCAACCCCAACAGGUUCCAAUGUAGUUGAUGCACCUAAGGUUUAUAUGCCUAGAAACUUAAAAUAGAUAAAUAAGCACAUGAAAAUCAGGUAAAAGUGAGGUGCAAGGUUCUUAUUAAUUUCAGGCAAUGAAAGCUAUUUAAAAGCCUUGAAAGCAUAAAGUAUAUAAAUUAAAAUAAAAUUUUCUGCCAAAUGGAAUUUAAUUAGAUAUAGUGAAUAAAACUUAUAAGACUACUAAUAAUGCAUAGCACUUUGACCUUGCAAGUGACAUACGGCAGAGAUAUUUCUGACCUACAUAAGCUAAAGUAUUGCCACUUGGUGACCACUUAACACCACAUACCCAGGAAAAUGAGAGAUCAAGCUGAAUAAUUUGCUGUUUCAACAGAAAAUUAGCAUGAAAAAAGUUAAUGCCAUGCAGCAUCAAUAAAAUGACAGAAGGAUGAAACAAAUAUAUAUAUCAAAAUAUUACAAUCUAAUUAGGGAUCAAACAAUUCAGAUGAAGGAAAAAUUACAAAAAGCUCACAAAGUGCAUAAUUGCAAUUCUAAAUGCAAUAACAAAGGUUCACAUUAAGAUCUUUAUAGCCUUAGGUUUCCUGCCAAAACAAAUCAAGCAUUUAUAAUUUUUGCAUGACAUUUUUUGUGUGC
rnacentral:misc_RNA from 1 species